UAACAUUUCAUAAAUCUUGAUACUUUGACUGUAACUGUAAUCAAAACACUAAAAGCUACCCUAAAACAAUAGUUGAAUAGGACUUUGUUGAAUAGAACUUCAGUUGAAAAAAACUCAACUCCAGACAGUUGAACUGCAAAUAAGAAUCCAAAAGAGAAUGAGGUAAAGUGUGAAACUCAUCUCAAGAAAUCCAAGUAUUUGGAAUAUCUGUCGCUGAGCAUUGAUAAUUUGGAAGUUCAAACAUUAUUAAGAACAAAUGUUGCAUCCAAUAGCCAUGCAUAUAACUAAAACACACUUUCUUGUAAG
rnacentral:misc_RNA from 1 species